GCGGGGGGAGAUUGAGCAAUAUUACUUAAUGCUUUCGAAAAGAUUAUUCUGAAAACUGUAACGAGGGAGAGAUUAGAGAGAAGAGGAGGGUCCUGCGUGCGUACGGAGGGGGCGGUCCGUUCAUGCACUCACACACGAGGUUCAGACGGGGUGAUGGAGCGUCCUCGACUGAACCUGAUAGAGCAAAGACACAAAUAGGGGCCGAGCGCGUUGAAGGCGCAACAGACAAGGAACGACUGAACGGAGCUAACAGUCCGUUUGAAUUUAACCGGCGAAAAGCGAAACAGAACACCGUUCGAAAGAACCGGAUUGACCGCGGAACGAAAGUCACUGAAAACGAUUUGAACUGAAGACUUUCUGAACAGAAUUACGCAACGAUUUAUAAUGGAGCAUUCCAGCGGCAUCGGGACACGUCAGCUACAACGCCUCACCUCAAUUCGUUCAGUUGCUCCUUUUGCCUCAAACACUGUGAUCUUGCUAAAAAAAAAAACCGCCUCAGGCUCCUAUAAAACAAUGUCUGCACACAGAUCUGUCUGUCACUGUAAAUGUAAAAUGAAACAUAACAUCCUCCGUUGUAAAGUCAUUCCUCUAUUAUGUGCCAACACUACUUAAAUACUUGGCAUUAAGUGAGAGGAGAUGCGCGGUGAGCCUGAAAGUCUUCACACUGUAAUAUUCCUCCUGUGGUUUGACAGAUUUAUGAAUAAAGUAUAAGAAAUUGCUUUUUGCAACAUAUAUCCUGAUUAAAGCAAACACCAGGAAACACCAAGAAGGGGGAAAUAAUGGAAUUAAUUUUGAUUAUUGUCAUGAACCAGUAGCAACUCAGCACUGAAAGACUGCAUCAUAUUUUUUUUUUCCAUACAGAUCACUGCCGUUGUCCAGACAAGGAUAUCUAAAUUGAAUUACACUGUUACUUGCAUUUUGAUGGUGGAAUUUUCUGUUGUCUUGUGAGUUCUUGUGUAUUUGAACAGUAAAUAUACAAUAUGUUUGUGUGAAUAAAUAUUUGAACUGUUUGUUUGCCUUUUAUUAUUAAACUAAAAUUUAAUUUGUGGAGCCUAAAUUCUAUUUAUCAUCUAAUAUAAAUUUUAUAUAGCUAAUAAUAUUUAAAGUAUGUUUAUUUGUCUAGAGGAACAGACAACAGUGGUUUCACAACAUGUUUUUUAAAACACAUUCUCUUGCAUUAAAAUGUGAGAACCAUAUCUGAAUUCCCAGAAUCACCUAGGACAGUGUUUUGACAUGUACACAAGUCCAGUUCUCAUGGACUAUCACCUCUGCUUGGUAUACAUCAAGUUUUAACAGAAAUAUUCAAAGCCCUAGGGGCAAUAACAUCAUAGAUGUCUCAAUAUACCAGCUCAAAUGUUACGUUCAUGAGAAAGCAGGUUUGUAAUUAGAAACCACAAGCAAAGAUCUUGAAAGAUUGUUGGGUGUAAAAAAAAAGAAGAAAAAAAGCUGUCAAAAUAAUUAAGCAUGGACAACAAUUACAGAAUUGAUGUAGAAACACUACAAAAAAUGCUAGUAAAUUUCAUUCCAGAGAAAUUAAAAGUAACAUUGAAUUAAACAUGAAAUUUUGAAAUAGAAAAAGCUGAAAUCACAUUUUCUUGUAAAAUGCACUCAAAAUCUUUUCAAAGUUGUGUACAGUGUACAAUAAAGAAUCCAUUGCUCCCUUAAAAGUGUUAUAAAUCUUAUUUAUAACUACUAUCUCCAUGAUGAUUUCAAUAUAUCGUAUAUAUUUUAUAGGCCCACAACUCCUUAAAUAAUCCACAAUUGUUCUUGCAACACUAGCACAAUCCACAAGAGGUCAGUAAAUCAUUUUGCAUUUCCAUUCAGAGUAUACGCACUCACACGCACCGCGUUAAUAAUAUAAACCGAAUUAAAUUACACACAAAGACUUGCACGACAAAAUCACCUGAUUCAAGACCAAGUUUCACCUUGACAUUUCCCCUGUACUUCCUUUAUACCAUGAAUAAACAUCUGACACCAAAUAUAGGCUUCCUCAGUCCCCUGAGAACUGAGCUCAGCUGAGACCAAUUCUGGUGAUGUAAGAGCAUAUAAAUAGAUGCAAUAGUCUAUUUGAGGAGCUAAUCUCUAAAACAAG
rnacentral:lncRNA from 1 species